GCAUCUAGUAAUUUGGAUGGAGUUCAUGUGAUAAUUAUAACACGGGACCAUUGACGUGUGGUUCAUUUGUCUAUACAUAUAUAUUUAAAGUAAGUACAAUUUAAGAAUUGUUUUGAUUAUAAAUAUGAGUCUGAUCGUGUUGAAAAAUCGAACCGAGAUGGAUUGUUUUGGAUACUCUAAACGUCAAGCCGUAAAUAUAGUUGUAGCUAACCAUGAACGUGUUACCUUGUAUCGAAAAAGAGUCCCAAUAGAUAAAACCAUGAGAUUGAUUACAAACUAUCGUAAAUAAGGUUUUAUCAAAAAUCUUAUAAAGCAAAAAAAAAAUCUUAUAUGAGCGAUCGAUGUGACCUACUAUUGUAGUGGCUUAGCAGGCGAAAACUUUUAUAUAAAAAAAAUUGAAUAUUAAUAUAUAUUGGUUAAAAUGGUGCUACCUCUAUGUAAAGGUUAUAGAGACCGAUAGCUAAAGACUGAUUGGUGGGGCAAGUCGGAAAUGGAAUGAUAAGUUAGACUAAUGUAAACAUUGAACAAAAAAAAAAAGACUAAUGUAAACAAUGUAUGCAAGUUGCUCACUUACAUUACAAGUGCAUGCAUGCCUUUUAAUAUUGACCCAUCUACACACCGGCCUACACAUAUAAAUUUGUAAUAUACGGCUGUAUAAACAGCAUAUUUUUCUUACAUAUGUUGAGAGACUACAUUAUUUCUUUGAUAUAUGACGAAUCUAAUACGGAGAAUACAAAUCUCCAUGUAUAUGGCGUUUAAGCAUCGCGUAAACAUAUGUAGUUGCCGCAUAUAAGUAUUUCUUUAUCACAAAGAGGUCAAAUUCAAAAAAAAAAAAAAAGGUCAAAUUCAUAACUGUAUGUUGUCUUAGUGUAUAUGAUUAAUGUUUCCUUCUAAAAAUUCUUGUCAACAAAACGUUUUUGUUUAGCAUCUCAAUCGAGUCCGAUGAUGAAAUACUUCUCGAAUCACAUGAUGACAAUGAGGUUAUGUUAUGAGAGACUUGCUAAACCAUUAGUACUUACCGUAUUAUGUAUCUUGUUUAAAAAUU
rnacentral:lncRNA from 1 species